rnacentral:rRNA from 1 species
CCCUGACCGGGGUUGCGGACAGUGUCUGGUGGGUAGUUUGACUGGGGCGGUCUCCUCCCAAAGCGUAACGGAGGAGCACGAAGGUUAGCUAAUCCUGGUCGGACAUCAGGAGGUUAGUGCAAUGGCAUAAGCUAGCUUGACUGCGAGCGUGACGGCGCGAGCAGGUGCGAAAGCAGGUCAUAGUGAUCCGGUGGUUCUGAAUGGAAGGGCCAUCGCUCAACGGAUAAAAGGUACUCCGGGGAUAACAGGCUGAUACCGCCCAAGAGUUCAUAUCGACGGCGGUGUUUGGCACCUCGAUGUCGGCUCAUCACAUCCUGGGGCUGAAGUAGGUCCCAAGGGUAUGGCUGUUCGCCAUUUAAAGUGGUACGCGAGCUGGGUUUAGAACGUCGUGAGACAGUUCGGUCCCUAUCUGCCGUGGGCGCUGGAGAAUUGAGGGGGGCUGCUCCUAGUACGAGAGGACCGGAGUGGACGCAUCACUGGUGUUCGGGUUGUCAUGCCAAUGGCACUGCCCGGUAGCUAAAUGCGGAAGAGAUAAGUGCUGAAAGCAUCUAAGCACGAAACUUGCCCCGAGAUGAGUUCUCCCUGAGACUUUAAGUCUCCUGAAGGAACGUUGAAGACGACGACGUUGAUAGGCCGGGUGUGUAAGCGCAGCGAUGCGUUGAGCUAACCGGUACUAAUGAACCGUGAGGCUUAACCUU